CAGUAGCCGCGGUAACACGAAGGGGGCUAGCGUUGCUCGGAAUGACUGGGCGUAAAGGGCGCGUAGGCGGAUGGCACAGUCAGAUGUGAAAUUCCCGGGCUUAACCUGGGGGCUGCAUUUGAUACGUGUUGUCUAGAGUGAGGAAGAGGGUUGUGGAAUUCCCAGUGUAGAGGUGAAAUUCGUAGAUAUUGGGAAGAACACCGGUGGCGAAGGCGGCAACCUGGUCCUUGACUGACGCUGAGGCGCGAAAGCGUGGGGAGCAAACAGGAUUAGAUACCCGGGUAGUCCCUGUCUCUUAUAC
rnacentral:rRNA from 1 species